UACGUAGGGUGCAAGCGUUGUCCGGAAUUAUUGGGCGUAAAGAGCUCGUAGGCGGUUCGUUGUGUCGGCGGUGAAAUCCCCGGGCUCAACCUGGGAAUGGCCGUUGAAACUGGCGAACUGGAGUGUGGCAGAGGGGGGUGGAAUUCCGCGUGUAGCAGUGAAAUGCGUAGAUAUGCGGAGGAACACCGAUGGCGAAGGCAAUCCCCUGGGCCUGUACUGACGCUCAUGCACGAAAGCGUGGGGAGCAAACAGG
rnacentral:rRNA from 1 species